CCCUUAGAUGUUCUGGGCCGCACGCGCGCUACACUGACGAAGUCAGCGAGCAUGUCCUACGCCGACAGGUGCGGGGAAUCUUGUCAAACUUCGUCGUGAUGGGGAUUGAUUAUUGAAAUUCUUGAUCAUCAACGAGGAAUUCCUAGUAAGCGCAAGUCAGCAGCUUGCGUUGAUUACGUCCCUGUCCUUUGUACACACCGCCCGUCGCUACUACCGAUUGAAUGGUUUAGUGGGAUCUUCGGAUUGGCGCCACUGCGGCUCAGCAAUGGGCUCGGUGGAUGCCGAAAAGUUGAUCAAACUUGAUCAUUUAGAGGAAGUAAAAGUCGUAACA
rnacentral:rRNA from 1 species